AACCCUGGGAAACGCACUUUGGAUUGCAUUCUGAUUAUCAUCAUGCAUCUAUCCGACACUUGACAUUUAGCUGCUCAAAGGAGAGGAAUUCAUCUCAGUGAUGUUGGUUUGACCCUGAGGAGAUAAUCGUGUCUACUUUAAAGGCUCUGGAGGCUGUAACCUGAUUAAUCCCCAACUUUCCCAGACAUGCCAUCCCAUCAACCACUUCAGUGCUCAUAAACGUAUCCAUUCAUC